rnacentral:rRNA from 1 species
UUUAAAGAGCCGCGGUAUUUUGACCGUGCAAAGGUAGCAUAAUCAUUAGUCUCUUAAUUAGAGGCUGGAAUGAAUGGCUUGACGAGAAAUCAACUGUCUCUUAAUAAAUUUUAAAAUUUAACUUUUGAGUCAAAAGGCUUAAAUUUUUCUUUAGGACGAGAAGACCCUAUAGAGCUUGAUAUUUUAUUUAUAUAUAAUUUUAAGAUAGUCUUUUUAUAUUUAAUGAUAAUGUUUUGUUGGGGUGACAUGAAGAAUUAAUAAACUCUUCAUUAUUAAAUCAUUAAUUUAUGUUAAUUUUGAUCCAUAAUUUAUGAUCAUAAGAUUAAGUUACCUUAGGGAUAACAGCGUAAUUGUUUUUGAGAGCUCAUAUCGACAAAGCAGAUUGCGACCUCGAUGUUGGAUUAAGAAAAGUUUUGGGUGCAGUAGCCCAAUGAUUAGGUCUGUUCGACCUUUAAAUUCUUACG